GAAGUUUCAUAAAGUGCCAUGGUCAUAAGACAAGUAAGCAGAGGUCAGUUCUUGUUUGUCUGGCCCCAGAGUCUGCGUUCUUAACCACCAUGAGGUAUUUCUACUGGGGAAGACCAGCAACUACCUCUCCUGAAAUUAUAGUUUGGACAUUUAUUAGAGAUUAAUUAUUCAUAAUGAUGGGACUGACAUUCCAAGAGAUUCCAGAAAUUUAAAAAAGAUGCCCAAGAUCCCAAUGAUGAAGAACACUCAAUCCUGACCUAGACAAGAAGAAAAAAUGGAAUGAAAUUUCUAAGAUAACGUGACAUGUAGUAAUGAAUAAGCAACCAGGUCAAGCAACAGAAUUCAC